CAGUAGCCGCGGUAAUACGUAUGUCACAAGCGUUAUCCGGAUUUAUUGGGCGUAAAGCGCGUCUAGGCGGUUAAUUAAGUCUGAUGUGAAAAUGCGGAGCUCAACUCCGUAUUGCGUUGGAAACUGGUUAACUAGAGUACUGGAGAGGUAAGCGGAACUACAAGUGUAGAGGUGAAAUUCGUAGAUAUUUGUAGGAAUGCCGAUGGGGAAGCCAGCUUACUGGACAGAUACUGACGCUAAAGCGCGAAAGCGUGGGUAGCAGACAGGAUUAGAUACCCGAGUAGUCCCUGUCUCUUAUACA
rnacentral:rRNA from 1 species